rnacentral:rRNA from 1 species
AACGAACGCUGGCGGCAUGCCUAACACAUGCCAGUCGAACGAGACCUUCGGGUCUAGUGGCGCACGGGUGCGUAACGCGUGGGAACCUGCCCUUAGGUUCGGAAUAACUCCCCGAAAGGGGUGCUAAUACCGGAUAAUGUCUUCGGACCAAAGAUUUAUCGCCUUUGGAUGGGCCCGCGUUGGAUUAGCUAGUUGGUAGGGUAAAAGCCUACCAAGGCGACGAUCCAUAGCUGGUCUGAGAGGAUGAUCAGCCACACUGGGACUGAGACACGGCCCAGACUCCUACGGGAGGCAGCAGUGGGGAAUAUUGGACAAUGGGCGAAAGCCUGAUCCAGCAAUGCCGCGUUAGUGAUGAAGGCCUUAGGGUUGUAAAGCUCUUUUACCCGGGAUGAUAAUGACAGUACCGUGAGAAUAAGCACCGGCUAACUCCGUG